UCUCCCAAUCUGAGUUUCCCAGAAAGCUCCGUUCUCCAUCAUGGCAUGGUCUCUGCUCUCGGCCUUCUUCUUCAUAUGGUACACAGGGGCCAAUUCACAGUACACCUUGACUCAACCUGCUGUCCAAUCGUCUCCCCUGGGACAAUCAG